AGGAGCGUAGCUCAAUUGGUAGAGCACCGGUCUCCAAAACCGGUGGUUGUGGGUUCGAGUCCCUCCGCUCCUGCCA
rnacentral:tRNA from 1 species